UCCAUCCGGUGGUAAUUGAAGUCAUAAUCCACCUUCUGCCAAGUGAUCAGGUUACCCAGGGCUGUCACAUUAUGGACACCUGCAAGAGCAACAACAAAUUCCCUGAGCACAGGGCCAAAACAAAUGUCAGCCCUGAUUUUUGUUUGCCAUCGGUCUUUUAGGAGCAGCAAACAGAAGGAUUCCUGCAAUCAUCCUGCUCCUUGUGUUUGAGGUGUCUUCCAGACAGAGAUAACUACUUCUAAAUGUGAAUCAAAAUUAAGAUUUCUUGAUUUCAGUCCUAGACUUUGUCUGGCUUAGUACAUUAAUACAUGAGUCCUCAUGUACUCAUGUCUUCAUUGGCCCUACAAAGCCAGGAUCUCCUGAGUUGGAAGGGACCCAUAAGGAUCAUUGGGUUCUAACUGCUGGCCCUGCACAGGACAGCUCCAGGACUCACCAAAGACAUCUGUACUGUGCAUUCUCCAGAAUGACACAGGAAAAAACCCACAAGCACCUGUGACAGAGCAACUGAGCUGUCAGUCAGGGAUCAGCUGUCACACAGAUGAUAACAAAAAGCAGCUGACCAGGCUGAGGUAAUUUUUAAGAAGUUGGC